rnacentral:lncRNA from 1 species
CUCCUUCAGAGCACAGCUGAGCAUCUGAAGAUCGCCAACCAGCAGAAAGAGAGCAUGGAGCAGUUCAUCGUCAGCCAGCUAACCAGAACACAUGAUGUUUUAAAGAAGGCAAGGACUAACCUAGAGAGCAGCACUUACAGGAUUGCCUCUGUAAAGCCUUAUUCCUGUCCCAGAAAAGGUGAAAUCCCUAAGGGCUCUGCCAUGUACUCCAGCCUUGUGACCCUUGCCUUCCAGGAACCAUGCAAGAAGCGCAGCCACCGGAAGUCCUUAAAACAGCAGGAAAGGUUGGCCUGUCCCCCUUUUGUGCAGCUACCUAUCUGCUGAGGAGCAUCUGGGCCUCAUUCCUCCAAGUCCACUGGAGGGUCCAGAAGAGGGAGUCAGAGUUGUAUCCUGGUGGAGCUGGCAGAAAGGCAGAAAGCCUUUCUGACAGCUAUGGAAUACGAUUAGCCAAGGUCCACUUGGCCCAGCACUAAGAAAAAGAUGCGUAGUUUGCACAGAAGGUUUUGUGAUCCUGCCUCUCAACAGCCCCAGCAGCUUGGGAACUAGCAAGAGCACAUUUCUUGCCUCAUCAGCUGUCCUGAGAUGGAAAACUCAGUGAAUAUAGGACCCUGAUUCUGAUGAAUGGGGCACGUGGUCCUAUUGCUGGAGCUCCUCUGGCAGGUUCUAAAAGCACACUACGGAGCAGCGGUGCCCUGCCAGACACUGCUCGUGGGGGCUCAGUGAGCACUACUCACAGAUCCACACCUGACCCUGUUGGGUCAAGUCAGGCUGGGUUUUGGUCUGCACUGUAGCACCUGCGUUCUUUGAGUUCACAUCAUGAAUGUGGUGACUUCCCAGAUACCAUCUCAGGCUUAACCUAGCACAUCCUAUUUCUUUUCUUCUAUGAUAUCCAAAUUGGACUGACCUCACUUCAAA